rnacentral:sRNA from 2 species
CAAAAGGAAAACUAGGGUUCCGGCUUUCGCCAAGAAAGUGUCUGGGCCAAGAGUUUUCGGUCUCGCAUAACGAGGCUCCACGGAGGGAUAAAAGCCCGGGAGAU